rnacentral:rRNA from 1 species
CACGUAGGGUGCGAGCGUUAAUCGGAAUUACUGGGCGUAAAGCGUGCGCAGGCGGUUUUGUAAGCCAGAUGUGAAAUCCCCGGGCUUAACCUGGGAAUGGCAUUUGGGACUGCAAGGCUGGAGUUUGGCAGAGGAGACUGGAAUUCCUGGUGUAGCAGUGAAAUGCGUAGAUAUCAGGAGGAACACCGAUGGCGAAGGCAGGUCUCUGGGCUGAAACUGACGCUCAUGCACGAAAGCGUGGGGAGCAAACAGG